GGGGAUUUAGCUCAGUGGUAGAGCGCUUGCCUAGUAAUCGCAAGGCCCUGGAUUCAGUCCUCA
rnacentral:tRNA from 1 species